UACGGGGGGAGCAAGCGUUGUUCGGAUUUACUGGGCGUAAAGGGCGCGUAGGCGGUCAGCACAAGUCAGUUGUGAAAUCUCCGAGCUUAACUCGGGACGGUCAACUGAUACUGUGCGACUAGAGUGCGGAAGGGGCAACUGGAAUUCUCGGUGUAGCGGUGAAAUGCGUAGAUAUCGAGAGGAACACCUGCGGCGAAGGCGGGUUGCUGGGCCGACACUGACGCUGAUGCGCGAAAGCCAGGGGAGCGAACGGG
rnacentral:rRNA from 1 species